rnacentral:rRNA from 1 species
UACGAAGGGGGCUAGCGUUGUUCGGAAUUACUGGGCGUAAAGCGCACGUAGGCGGAUUGUUAAGUCGGUGGUGAAAUCCUGGAGCUCAACUCCAGAACUGCCUUCGAUACUGGGAGUCUCGAGUCCGGGAGAGGUGAGUGGAACUGCGAGUGUAGAGGUGAAAUUCGUAGAUAUUCGCAAGAACACCAGUGGCGAAGGCGGCUCACUGGCCCGGUACUGACGCUGAGGUGCGAAAGCGUGGGGGAGCAAACAGG